AUGGAGUUGAAGAUGAUGAUGAUGAUGAAGAUGAUGUGGUUCAGAGAUGUUUGCUGCUCUCGUCUCUCUCGGGGUCACAGACUGACGUCACCGCGGAUCUGCAGACAUCACGUUCAUAAUCAGAGUCACGGGCGAUGCUGAUUGGCUGAGCGGGGUGUGUCUGCUCUGAUUGGCUGACGGCAGAUAAUCGAACACCUACACAGAUGAUGGUGCGCUCCUCAUGUGGAUAAAUAGAGCCGGAGCCGGAGACACACUCAGAGGAACCCGACUGACAGUUACAGAACACACCGAUACACACCGACAGGAUGCUGCUGCUGAAGGUCUCCGCUCUGCUCCUCGCUGUGGUCUGCCAGAUGAAGAGCUGCAGCGCCGCUCCGGCCAGAGCGGCUCCAGACUCUCUGUCUGACAGGGUUUCGCUGGUGGAUUUCGAGGCUGGCCGACUGUGGAGCGCCAUACUGAAGAGCGUAGAGCAGAUGACGGAGGACCUGGAGCCCGACAGCAGGUACACCACAGCAGGACACCGGGGUCUA